GUAACAUAGAGGAGCACCUGCCAACUUAUACAGCUGCUGGUGCUAGGCCCAGUAGUAUUGUAGUAGGGAGACGUUGAACUUGAUAACUUGGUAAAAGAUGUUCGUUGAGCAGGUGCAUAGAAGAAGAUUUUUCUGGGAAAUGGAAAGCUCCCUCACAGGAAAGCAGCAGCAGCAAAGAGCAACUGCUUCUGGAAGUGAGAUGGAGGUUGGUGCAGAUGAUUUACUAGCUAAAUACUUUAAGGCACUCAAUAUAUACUACAUGAUGAUACAUGAUAGUAAUUUUGGGAGCAGACCUAUAUCACCAUUCUUGCUAUCGUCAUUGUAUUAUUACAGUUAUUAAUAAAAAUCAUUGCUAUGCAUUGUUUUCCCAUCCUUCCCGCAAUCAAUCACUCCACCCCUUUAUCCUGUUUUCUGUCUCUAUUUAUCCUCUGUCCCUUUACUCUCUCUCUCUCUCUCUCUCUCAAUCCAACCGGUCAAGACAGAUAGCCGCCCAGCAGAGACUGGUUUCUGUUCAAAGUUUGUUCCCCAGACGGGCUUUUUUCUUGCCUCAUUUGCCAAGUGCUUGUUCAUGUGGGGUUCAGUUGGUUUUCUUUAAUGUAAGAGGAGCGUGGGUCUUGACCUGCUUUGGGUGUAAAGUGCCUUGAUGUAAUUUCUGCUGUGAAUUGGCGCUGCGGUGUAUAACAAAAAAAAAGGACUUUACUUGACUAUGUAGCAGAGGUGAGAGAAAGUCAGUGUUUUGCAAGCCUCAAGUAAGUCUUGCAAGUUUUUAAUCCCAAGUCUCGAGUCAAGUCUCAAGUAGAAAAGUGCAAGGUGCAGGUUGUCUUGGAAGACGUUCAUUGAGCAUGAACUGAUGAAGCCUGCUCGGGUGACAGGCGAAACCUGUGAUUGAUUCAAUGCCCUGAGAAUUCACUGGAAAUCUCAAGUAUUUUCAAGUCAUCAGACUAAAGUUCGAGUUUCAAGUAUUUGAUGAUAUCGUCAAUUCGAGUCCAAAGUCAUGGCCGUACGGUGGUCUAGUGGUUAGCACGUUGGCCAACAUAGUAACAGCCUGGAGAUUGGGAAGACCUGGGUUCGAUUCUCCCGUGGGCAUUUCUGUGUGGAGUUUGCAUGUUCUACAUGAUGCCGGGUACUCAGGCUUCCUCCCACAUUCCAAAAACAA